AUGGUGUGCGGGUGGAAAGAUUUUUCGGUUGGGGAUGGGCUCGCGGCCUAUCAGCUUGUUGGUGAGGUAAUGGCUCACCAAGGCGUCGACGGGUAGCCGGCCUGAGAGGGUGACCGGCCACACUGGGACUGAGACACGGCCCAGACUCCUACGGGAGGCAGCAGUGGGGAAUAUUGCACAAUGGGCGGAAGCCUGAUGCAGCAACGCCGCGUGAGGGAUGACGGCCUUCGGGUUGUAAACCUCUUUUAGCAGGGAAGAAGCGAGAGUGACGGUACCUGCAGAAAAAGCACCGGCUAACUACGUGCCAGCAGCCGCGGUAAUACGUAGGGUGCAAGCGUUAUCCGGAAUUAUUGGGCGUAAAGAGCUCGUAGGCGGUCUGUCGCGUCUGCUGUGAAAUUCCGAGGCUCAACCUCGGGCUUGCAGUGGGUACGGGCAGACUAGAGUGCGGUAGGGGAGAUUGGAAUUCCUGGUGUAGCGGUGGAAUGCGCAGAUAUCAGGAGGAACACCGAUGGCGAAGGCAGAUCUCUGGGCCGUAACUGACGCUGAGGAGCGAAAGGGUGGGGAGCAAACAGGCUUAGAUACCCUGGUAGUCCACCCCGUAAACGUUGGGAACUAGUUGUGGGGUCCUUUCCACGGAUUCCGUGACGCAGCUAACGCAUUAAGUUCCCCGCCUGGGGAGUACGGCCGCAAGGCUAAAACUCAAAGGAAUUGACGGGGACCCGCACAAGCGGCGGAGCAUGCGGAUUAAUUCGAUGCAACGCGAAGAACCUUACCAAGGCUUGACAUACACGAGAACGGGCCAGAAAUGGUCAACUCUUUGGACACUCGUGAACAGGUGGUGCAUGGUUGUCGUCAGCUCGUGUCGUGAGAUGUUGGGUUAAGUCCCGCAACGAGCGCAACCCUCGUUCUAUGUUGCCAGCACGUAAUGGUGGGAACUCAUGGGAUACUGCCGGGGUCAACUCGGAGGAAGGUGGGGAUGACGUCAAAUCAUCAUGCCCCUUAUGUCUUGGGCUUCACGCAUGCUACAAUGGCCGGUACAAUGGGCUGCGAUACCGUAAGGUGGAGCGAAUCCCAAAAAGCCGGUCCCAGUUCGGAUUGAGGUCUGCAA
rnacentral:rRNA from 1 species